rnacentral:sRNA from 1 species
GCUGGGUGUGGUGGUGCACACCUGUAAUCCCAGAGACUGAGUGAGGAGGCUGAGGCAGGAGGGCCACAAGUUUGAGGCCAGCCUCAGCAAUUUAGCAAGGCCCUAAGCAACUCAGUGAGACCCUGCCUCAA